UUAACAGAACUUAAGGAAUGUGAUGAUACAUUCAAAACAUUAUCUUGGCUAACAUGAAUGAGCCAAUCAGUGACUGUACUUAUUUUAGAUAUCUUGAUACCAUCAUGCUGAAAUCAAAAGGACCUUUAUGUAAGCAUGAGUUGUAACCGCUAAGACAGCUAAUGACGAUGAACUGGAGAAGUGUAGUCAGAUGGAAAAUUUAGCAGGUCAGGCUGUCAGCAAGGCUGCUGCUCAGCCUGCAUGUUUGGAUGGUAUCUCUCUGAUCAUCGAAUGUGGCAGGUAGACCGGUCCCAGUUGUGCCUUAAUUCAAAGCUAUCGAGUCUGCUUGCCAGCUACCAGAGCCUACCUAAUCCUGACAUCAACCAACAACAG